UACGGAAGGCAGCAGGGGGAAUAUUGCACAAUGGGCGCAAGCCUGAUGCAGCCAUGCCGCGUGUAUGAAGAAGGCCUUCGGGUUGUAAAGUACUUUCAGUCGUGAGGAAGGUGUUAAGGUUAAUAACCUUAGCAAUUGACGUUAGCGACAGAAGAAGCACCGGCUAACUCCGUGCCAGCAGCCGCGGUAAUACGGAGGGUGCGAGCGUUAAUCGGAAUUACUGGGCGUAAAGGGCACGCAGGCGGUUAAUUAAGUUGGAUGUGAAAUCCCCGGGCUUAACCUGGGAAUGGCAUUCAAGACUGGUUAGCUAGAGUCUUGUAGAGGGGGUAGAAUUCCAUGUGUAGCGGUGAAAUGCGUAGAGAUGUGGAGGAAUACCGGUGGCGAAGGCGGGCCCCUGGACAAAGACUGACGCUCAUGUGCGAAAGCGUGGGGAGCAAACAGGGAUUAGAUA
rnacentral:rRNA from 1 species